CAGCAAGACGGUGAUUAUCGUUCUGAUGCAGCCCUUCCUGAUGCCAGGCACUGAUCUUCGCACGUGUUGAUGCAUUGACUCCUCAGAACCACCCCAGGAGGCCCUGAGGACUUGGGAAUGUGCAAAGCAGAGCAAGCCCCUGCCUUCAGGGUAGGUGGACAGGCGGUGGACGCGGAGCUGAGCCUGGGCGUCCCGAGGAAGGAGUCAGGAGCAGUCACUUCUGCUGACGGCCGCUUCCACAGCCUCAUCCUGAAAGCAGUUGUGGUUCAGAGAAGUCAGCGUCUUUGGCAGGAGCUGGGCCACCGUCGCCUAGACCACGCUGGGGUGCAAAGUGCUGACAUCCUCCCCAGCACUGUCCUCAACAGCCGGGAGGCAGGCACAGGGGAAAACCCACCAGCAACACCAGCUCCGCAGCGUCCACGCCUGCCGAGGAUGCUGCAGAAAAGGACAGAAGACCAGAUGAAGAAUAUUAAAGGCGCUGAGAAACGAAGCACUUGCUAA
rnacentral:lncRNA from 13 species